rnacentral:lncRNA from 1 species
UAUUUUUAACAAAUAAAAUUACGUCUCAAAAAUAAAAUAUUUUCGAAAACCUUACAAACUGCAUCUCCAGAAUAUGUUAUCGUGAUGACUUGUGGUACAAAUAUUAUAGUACAAAUAGUCCCAAAAAGAUUUUUCUCUCCACAAAUAUUGCUGGUUUUCUAAUCUAAUAAAGAAACGUAUAUAAAAAAUUGCUGCUUUUUCAUCAAUUGUUUGAAUGGUUGUGUCUUUGUCGAGAGUCAGAUUAGAGAUUAAGAGCGGAGCAUUUGUAAUCUUACGAAAUGUGAUAUUUUGAAAUGCUUAAAUUUUGUUAAAAUUUGAAUUCUUAGCUGACAGAGUUGGUAAAAUAAAUAACAGUAUCCAUUACAACCAAAUAAAUAUGUGCUAGAUGAUAAAUGUAUAAUAAUGUGAUAUUUUGGAAAUUAAAACACUUAAGUUUGAUUUAAAAUGUUCAAUUAUGUUUUUUUCUCUUAUAACAGUGCAAAUUGUUGACAGUUAAGGAUUCGCACGAACUUUAUUUCACUACGUAUUCGAUAUAAUAAUAUAGGUAUUAACUCGUGGCUAAAAUGGGUCAGAAAUCAUAGACAUUUUAAUGGGUUUUUUAUAUAAAUAAAAAAAAUAUACUCAAAGAUAAAUUCGUCUGAAAUAAUAUAAUAAUAUUAUUAUCAUGCCUAUAAAAUAUAAUAUACUAUAUAUUAUGAUUCAUACAUGCUGCACAGACACACAUUAAAAAGCGUGCAAGGUUAGGUUAUAUUUACUUUAUUCGAUCGUAACAACAGUAUUAAAUUAUUUUUAUUAUUUUUUUUAAAAAUAUUUUUUGCAUACAACAACUAUAAUUAUUGUGCGAUUGUUAUGCAAAAACAUUGAUAAUCACACCACACCGACUAUGUGUACCUACACAGUUAUUUACAAUCAAUCGAUUAAAGUUCGUUAGAAAAGCGUUUUCUACUAUUAUAAUAGGUUUAAUAGGUAGGUAAUUGCUACUUAUAUACUGCUAUAAAGACACUUUAAUCAGCUAAUAAGGUAAAAGAAAAUGGUUUUCUCCAUUUCCACGUAAAAGAUUAAUAUCGUAUUUCAUCGAUUCGGAUACACUAUUAAAGUAUUAUUGUAGCAAUUGUAUUGUUCAAUCAAAUAUUUAUACCCGAGGCCACGAAACAGUUUUCUUAAUUUUCCACAAGAAACAAUAAAGCUUUUUGAGGUGUUUCAGCGUCGGAUACACGUUGUAAGGCGAGGGAAGUGUCGGCGUUUCUUCGAAACAGCUCAGCCACAGUUUCGAUCUGGAAAAUUUCCAUUCCACGUCCGAUUGACCCUGCAGUUUGUCAAAAUAGGAAUUGGACAUCAUAGCGAUGAGCAGGUUCAACAUAAUCGUGACGUUAAUUACCGAAUAAGUGGCAAACAUAAAAAGUGCCCAGAAUCUCGUGUAAGGUUUCAUCCCAGGUAGAUCAAAUGUUUCGAGAUCAACCUCGCCAAAACCCGUCCAAAACAGAGUAUGAAUGGAUUCAAACACACUGCAAAAAUGAAAAUUUGUAUACAGUCCAUAUUGUUAAAUUAUGGGCUCUGACAAAGCAUUUAUACGACCUUUGACUUGAAUUUUGAACUGACCAUGUGCAAAUAUCAAAAUCAAAGAAUGCUCAACGCCUCUGAAAUCAGUUUAACCGUGAAAAUCCGUUUGAUAGUAUAGAAUCGUACAGAUAUCGUUUGGGCUGUAUUAAAACAUACAAGUAUCAAUACCGUUAUGUUUCUAUACGCAAAGCAAUGUACAAAAGUUUGUAACAGUAGGUAGGUACCUAUUAUGGAAAUAACUAUUAUUAAAACCCGUUGUUGAAUAUCAUAAUAUAUUAUUGUUCAAUAAAUGUAUAAGUA